rnacentral:pre_miRNA from 1 species
CUACUACUCCCUCCGUUCGGAAUUACUUGUCUCAGAAAUGGAUGUAUCUAAAUACAUCUAGAUACAUCCAUUUCUACGACAAGUAAUUCCGAACGGAGGAAGUACCUG